rnacentral:rRNA from 1 species
AACGAACGCUGGCGGCAUGCUUAACACAUGCAAGUCGAACGAGAACUUCGGGUCUAGUGGCGCACGGGUGCGUAACGCGUGGGAACCUGCCCUUAGGUUCGGAAUAACUCCUCGAAAGGGGUGCUAAUACCGGAUAAUGUCUUCGGACCAAAGAUUUAUCGCCUUUGGAUGGGCCCGCGUUGGAUUAGCUAGUUGGUAGGGUAAAAGCCUACCAAGGCGACGAUCCAUAGCUGGUCUGAGAGGAUGAUCAGCCACACUGGGACUGAGACACGGCCCAGACUCCUACGAGAGGCAGCAGUGGGUGAUAUUGGACAAUGGGCGAGAGCCUGAUCCAGCGAUGCCGCGUGAGUGAUGAAGGCCUUAGGGUUGUAAAGCUCUUUUACCCGGGAUGAUAAUGACAGUACCUGGAGAAUAAGCUCCGGCUAACUCCGUG